rnacentral:rRNA from 1 species
ACCGCAUAACAUUGACUAUUGCAUGAUAGUCAAUUGAAAGGUGCAAAUGCACCACUACCAGAUGGACCUGCGUUGUAUUAGCUAGUUGGUGGGGUAACGGCUCACCAAGGCGACGAUACAUAGCCGACCUGAGAGGGUGAUCGGCCACACUGGGACUGAGACACGGCCCAGACUCCUACGGGAGGCAGCAGUAGGGAAUCUUCGGCAAUGGACGGAAGUCUGACCGAGCAACGCCGCGUGAGUGAAGAAGGUUUUCGGAUCGUAAAGCUCUGUUGUAAGAGAAGAACGAGUGUGAGAGUGGAAAGUUCACACUGUGACGGUAUCUUACCAGAAAGGGACGGCUAACUACGUGCCAGCAGCCGCGGUAAUACGUAGGUCCCGAGCGUUGUCCGGAUUUAUUGGGCGUAAAGCGAGCGCAGGCGGUUAGAUAAGUCUGAAGUUAAAGGCUGUGGCUUAACCAUAGUACGCUUUGGAAACUGUUUA